ensembl:lncRNA LINC00943 long intergenic non-protein coding RNA 943
AGGAUUGGGGUGGGGUUCAUCCCACCCAGACCACAGAGACUGAAAAUAAGAAAGGGGUGAGGCCUAAGGGACAAUCAGGAUGUUUUUCAGAGAGAAGUGUGGAUGCUGGACAGGAAGAACCACAGAUACCAGAUACGGGUACUGUUGUAACUCUGUUCUCCAUGAAAAAGAGUCAAGGGAUUGGAUUGUGGAUUGCAUUGGUGGUUUUCCUCAGUUUCCUCAUCUUCUCCACAAGUUUCUACAUAUCGAAUGCAGAGCAGCCCUUCUUCAAAGGACCUCCUACGGAAGCUGCUAAGGAACUCAGUCUGUAGCUCUGCGUGGAGCCAUGUGUAAACACUGAACUGAGACCUGCCACCUCCUACUACCUAAGGGCCCAUUUUCAUCUGAUAUCAUCCCCCAGAAACAAACUCAUGAUGACUUCCAUGUUUUUUUUAGAUUAGAUACAUGGAGAAUUUUCCUUUCCCUUAGAAUUAAAAUCCUGCAUUCUAAUUUUCAGUAAGCUUUUUUAUUUCUGAAUAAUUUUAAAUUUAAAGAGAAGUUGCAAAGAUAGUAUAGAAUGUUCCCUUAUACCUGUUUUUAUUUAGAGUGAUGUUCCCAGGAGAAAUGAUAAUGCAGCAAUGGACAAGAACAGGAACAAGAGACAGUCUUACCAUCUUCUUACAAUUUAUAGAUGGGACAGUGGAAAGAGAAGCCACAUCGGGGUUGGGCAUGCAGAGACCUGGUCCUAAAUCUGUGUGACUUUUGCGAAAUCCUUUUGCCUCACAGAGCUCUAGGUUCUUAUCUGUCAAACAGGAACCAGACCAUCAGAUCCGUAGAGAUCCAACCAAUGAAGGAGACUUCGAAAACUUCACAUUGCCGUGUCAAUGUGAGGUUGCUGGAUGGUUAUGACAAGAAAUCACAUUAAAUUCACUGGGGUAACAUUGUUCAUGAAACGGGAUAAUGUGUUUCAGCGAUGAACCACCCAUGGCCUUACUACAGACAUAUUUCCACUUUGAAAAUGUGUGUGAGUGUACAUGUCUGUGUGUGAGGCAGAGAUUAGAAAGUGUAAAUGUGUGCGUUUUCAUUUUACACAUCUUACAUUUUCCUUUAAUUUGUUUGAAAGCCUGUUUUGUUUGUGGCUUCCAUUCCUGGAAGUCCCAUGAGUUGUUAGUGGUGAAGAUGGAACAGAUGUGUCCAACCCGGGGGACUCCUGCCCUCAGGGACUGAGCAGCUGCAAACCUCUCUCUCAUCUGAUUCCACUGUUUCUUCCACAUGUACACAUCAUGAGAAAUAUUGUUCAAUCAAUAUCUUCCCUUAAAUCAACUCAUAUGCUUAUUUACAUGAAUUUACCUAAAACAGAAACUUGAUAUCACUUCUGUAAAUGAAAAAAUUAAACUUUCUGGCUUUAAAUAAAGCAUAACAAUAAUAAUCAUGUCAAAA